GUAGGUGGCAAGCGUUGUCCGGAAUUAUUGGGCGUAAAGCGCGCGCAGGCGGUUCUUUAAGUCUGAUGUGAAAGCCCACGGCUCAACCGUGGAGGGUCAUUGGAAACUGGAGAACUUGAGUACAGAAGAGGAAAGCGGAAUUCCACGUGUAGCGGUGAAAUGCGUAGAGAUGUGGAGGAACACCAGUGGCGAAGGCGGCUUUCUGGUCUGUAACUGACGCUGAGGCGCGAAAGCGUGGGGAGCAAACGGGGGAUUAGAUACCCUGGUAGUCCACGCCGUAAACGAUGAGUGCUAAGUGUUAGGGGGUUUCCGCCCCCUUAGUGCUGCAGCUAACGCAUUAAGCACUCCGCCUGGGGAGUACGGCCGCAAGGCUG
rnacentral:rRNA from 1 species